UGACAGCAAGGAUAGCAUCCUCUCGGCCGAUAUUAAGGAUUUAAGGUGCCUGUCUGUCUUUUCCCCUUCUUGCAUGGAGAAGUGGGAAUGGUGGAUGCUGAUUUUUCUCUGCCUUCUCCGUGAAACUCAACCUCCUAGAAGUCAGGCUGGUUCUUGAGCACUUUUUCAAUUCAAUCAGGUGUUAGAGUGUUCACAGUCGUCUUCCUUUUGGGCCAUGUUUCUGGUUAUCCUUCCUUCCUUUUACCACCAAAAUGCUUGUAUUUGAUUUUUUUUUUUUUUUUUUUUUUUUUUUUCCUCCAGGCAGCCUGAUGCAGAAAGGGUGCUGGCUUGCUUUUAUCACAUCAAAGCCUGAUAACAGCAAUUCUGUGCUUACCAACCUCCCUCAUGAGCGUAUACAGCAUCCACAGAUGCCUUUGAAGACUUCUGCUGAGGGUACUCAUCCCCACUAGGUCAUUUCAAAAGGCAGCUUCUCUGAAAAAGUUGCAGGCUUCUGAAAGUAAAAUCAUGGACCAUGUCCUAGUUCUCUAAUCCUGCAAGGAGAUAACAGAGUUUUUGGAGUAUUUAAAAGGGUACUCCCUGGAUUCCAUGCACCAUCAGUACACUGGUGUCCUGUGGUUCCUGUGUCCAACAGUCCCACAAUGGAGGAAAUGGGCAAAAGUGAUGGAAUCAGUGAGCUGAAACAUCUGCACAUCACCAGCAGCUGCCACUGCCCUCAAGGAAAUCUUCCAGAGAAGUCCUUUGAAGGCAAAUUGCUUACCCAAAAAAGCACUUGGAUAAGUGAAGGAUACAGGAGAGUAGAAGAGAGAUCCCAAGAUAUCUUAUGGCCUGCAGAGGACAGUGGUUAUUUACAAGUAUCUCUAGAGCAGGCAAAGACAACCCAAAAGGUUUUUACUGAGAGAAAGAGUUUCCUCUCUAUUUCUUUUCCACCUCUGUCAAUGCUGGGAAUGUCAGGAUAG
rnacentral:lncRNA from 1 species